rnacentral:tRNA from 1 species
GGAUUCGUGGUGUAGUGGUCAACAUGCUUCCCUGUCACGGAAGAGAUCGAGGGUUCGAAUCCCUUCGAAUCCGCCA